UUCCUCCUAGGUAGAAGCAUGUGAGCUGUCACUGGGGAGGAACACAUUGGAUGCUUCAUCUGUACUGACUUCUCAGGGUGCUAGCCAUCCCAAACAACAAUGAAGCAAGAAACAAACUCUACCUUUGAUAAUACUAGAAGAUCUAUAUAACCCUGAAACUCAUCAGGUCUUCCAGGUCCAACCUGUCAACUUGCAGACUAAUACAAUACGCUGGGCCAUGAAGAAGACUG